rnacentral:rRNA from 1 species
AAAACGACUCUCGGCAACGGAUAUCUCGGCUCUCGCAUCGAUGAGGAACGUAGCGAAAUGCGAUACUUGGUGUGAAUUGCAGAAUCCCGUGAACCAUCGAGUCUUUGAACGCAAGUUGCGCCCUAAGCCUUCUGGCCGAGGGCACGUCUGCCUGGGUGUCACAAA